UCCAGACUCCUACGGGAGGCAGCAGUGGGGAAUAUUGCACAAUGGGCGAAAGCCUGAUGCAGCAACGCCGCGUGAAGGAAGAAGGGUUUCGGCUCGUAAACUUCUAUCAACAGGGACGAAAGAAAUGACGGUACCUGACUAAGAAGCCCCGGCUAACUACGUGCCAGCAGCCGCGGUAAUACGUAGGGGGCAAGCGCUAUCCGGAAUUACUGGGUGUAAAGGGAGCGUAGGCGGUUUAGCAAGUCAGAAGUGAAAGCCCGGGGCUCAACUCCGGGACUGCUUUUGAAACUGUUGAACUAGAUUGCAGGAGAGGUAAGUGGAAUUCCUAGUGUAGCGGUGAAAUGCGUAGAUAUUAGGAGGAACACCAGUGGCGAAGGCGGCUUACUGGACUGUAAAUGACGCUGAGGCUCGAAAGCGUGGGGAGCAAACAGGAUUAGAUACCCCCGUAUC
rnacentral:rRNA from 1 species